AAAGAGGAGUGAGCAGGUGGGAGACAGGAAUGCCAGUCAGCAAGCAGCUUGCUAGAGAGCUACCCGGGAACAACACUCCAGAAAGAGGCAAACAGGCCAACAGACUGAAGAGCCUACAGAGGCCUGAGGGAAGUUGAGCUACUACAUAGGAGGCAGCCCCACAGGAUCCUAGAUCUCCUCCACAAGACAUGGGAGGAGCCAGACCCAGGAACAACCAACAUGGUGUGCAUAUGGCCGGUCUGGAGUCCUGUACUCCUGGUAGGGUCACCCAUGGCAAUAAGGUUGAAGGCGAGGUACCAGACAAAAUGCAGUCCAGCAGAGCACAACCCAGUAUAAGACCUCAAUGGCAGAAUAGGCAGAUGAAGCAGGAUCACCUCUCAAUGGCUGUGAAGGAUGACAAAGGCUGCAACGGAGGAGAAAUCUCCAGUCAUCUUGGACCUCCUUGCCAUGGGACACAGGUGCCUCUUCCGCCAAGAUUUGUGUGCUUGCUAGUGCACAUCAAACUAUUUGUGCGCAGGCUUCUUUCACAGGAAGAACUUUUCCCCCACCCCUACCCAUAAAAGUCCUGUGGCGAUGGGGGAGUGGCAAUUGGGAUAGGUGAAGUGAUCACCAGGAGGCCCUAGUAACAGACCCACACACAGGUGGUGACCAUAAGAUGGUCGUCAUGUGCCCUGGGACUGGGAUGGGGGGCAUUUUCGGCAGCAGCGGUCAUGACUGAACAGGCCUUUUUAGCCUUUAGCCCCAUACAGAUAAGGGGAUAGAAAAGGUGCCCCAAACAUAGGCUAUCCCACUAGACUGACUGGAUAACCAUGUCCAGAGGGAUCACUCCCAAUGCGGUCAAAAAACAAAAAUGUUUCUUGCAACUUGGAAUGUCCGUAUUCUACUAGAUGGAUCAAAAAGUGAAAGACCCAAAUGAAGAACAGCAAUUGUUGCCUGAGAACUCUCAAGGUACAACAUCAACAUCGCUGCUCUCAGUGAA